GUCCACGCCGUAAACGAUGGGCACUAGGUCCUUGGGGGAGCGACCCCUUGAGGGCCGGCGCUAACGCAUUAAGUGCCCCGCCUGGGGAGUACGGCCGCAAGGCUGAAACUCAAAGGAAUUGACGGGGGCCCGCACAAGCGGUGGAGCAUGUGGUUUAAUUCGACGCAACGCGAAGAACCUUACCUGGGCUUGACAUGCACGGGAACUCGUGGUGAAACCUGCGGGGCUCUUCGGAGCUCGUGCACAGGUGCUGCAUGGCUGUCGU
rnacentral:rRNA from 1 species